GACGAACGCUGGCGGCGUGCUUAACACAUGCAAGUCGAACGCUGAAGCUUGGUGCUUGCACUGGGUGGAUGAGUGGCGAACGGGUGAGUAAUACGUGAGUAACCUGCCCUUGACUCUGGGAUAAGCCUGGGAAACUGGGUCUAAUACUGGAUACGACAUGUCACCGCAUGGUGGUGUGUGGAAAGGGUUUUACUGGUUUUGGAUGGGCUCACGGCCUAUCAGCUUGUUGGUGGGGUAAUGGCUCACCAAGGCGACGACGGGUAGCCGGCCUGAGAGGGUGACCGGCCACACUGGGACUGAGACACGGCCCAGACUCCUACGGGAGGCAGCAGUGGGGAAUAUUGCACAAUGGGCGGAAGCCUGAUGAAGCGAUGCCGCGUGAGGGAUGACGGCCUUCGGGUUGUAAACCUCUUUCAGCACGGAAGAAGCGAAAGUGACGGUACGUGCAGAAGAAGCGCCGGCUAACUACGUG
rnacentral:rRNA from 1 species